rnacentral:lncRNA from 1 species
CUUUGUUUCUAACAUCCUCUCCCUAUUGUCCAAUUAGCCUAUUCCUUCUCUUGUUAGGACAAGUCCAAAAAUAGAAAGGACAAGUUCGAUUUUAGGGUAAGAGUCUAGGAAGAGAAUUAAGGAAGACAAGGAGAGAAGAAAGGUAGGGAUAGGAAGGCUAGGAGAAGAGGAAGAACGUCUUGAGGUCCUGGUGUUCAAAAAAAUUCUCAGAGUAAGAAUUUUAGAGGAGGAAUC